rnacentral:rRNA from 1 species
AGGACGAACGCUGGCGGCGUGCUUAACACAUGCAAGUCGAGCGGAAAGGCCCUUCGGGGUACUCGAGCGGCGAACGGGUGAGUAACACGUGAGCAACCUGCCCUUAGCUCUGGGAUAGCUCCGGGAAACCGGAAUUAAUACCGGAUACGACCUAGGCCGACAUCGGCCGUGGUGGAAAGUUUUUCGGCUAGGGAUGGGCUCGCGGCCUAUCAGCUAGUUGGUGGGGUAAAGGCCUACCAAGGCGACGACGGGUAGCCGGCCUGAGAGGGCGACCGGCCACACUGGGACUGAGACACGGCCCAGACUCCUACGGGAGGCAGCAGUGGGGAAUCUUGCGCAAUGGGCGAAAGCCUGACGCAGCGACGCCGCGUGGGGGAUGAAGGCCUUCGGGUUGUAAACCCCUUUCAGCAGGACGAAGCGAAAGUGACGGUACCUGCAGAAGAAGCGCCGGCUAACUACGUGCCAGCAGCCGC